AUGGCUCUCGCAUCUGCUUCGUCAUCUCCGGGUCCGUCGACCGCCUCGGCUGCUGCCGCCGCGCUCGCCGCGGCCGCUCUUGCCUCCCGCAAGGCCGCCCCAGCCGCUGGUGGUCGCUUGGCCCGCGCUGGUCGCGCCGAGAGGCCCGUUGUCGCUGCAUCUCCCGCGAUGGAUGCGGGCAUGCAUCCUCUGCUGGGCUCCCGGCCUCCCUCGACUGGCGUCGCCAUGAUGCCCGCUCCUCCAACUCGGUGUGCCCCUGGCCUGAUGGAUGGUGGGCUUGGGUCCCUACUGCCGCCGCUGCUUGGGCGCCCCCCAUCCCCGGCUUCUGCUGACGCAACGGCGUCCAUGAUUCUUGUCGGCGCCGCACCAUCGCCCCGGACUGCUGCUGAGGAAGCGCCACCCAUGGCUCCUGCCGGCGCCGUGCCAUCACCCCCUACUGCGGCUUCCAAAGCGCCGUCCGCGACUCUUGCCGAAGCCGCUUCAUCAUCCUUGACUCCUGCUCAAGCCGUGCCACCCCCGUGUCCUGCCGGGACUGCAACGGGAUUAGACACGGAGCAACUUGUUUCGUGUAGCUCACAUGCCGUCGAAGAAGUUGACGACGACGCCGCUGCUCCGUCUGGCCACCUCCCCGUCCUGCCAUCAUUCUCGUCAACUACUCAGCCCGAGUUGGAUCGGGAGCAGCCCGCGUUUGCCGAGGUGUGUGUGGGGCACGAGCCGGACGCAAGGGGGGGAUGGCAGGAGGUGCUGCCACGACGUGGUCCGCAGCGUCCGGCAUCGCCGGCCCUGACAUUGGUUCCUCGUCCCAUUCCCGCGUGGCUUCACGACAGAUGCUGCAGAUGUCUUGCUCCUGGGCACCGUGCAGCGGUUUGCAGAGAUCCAUUUCGAUGCUCCCGCUGUUUAGAGAACGGUCACCGUGCGCGCGAGUGCAGCAACCCAUGGCGUCCUCUCAGCUCGCUGGCAUGCCUUGUCAUGCCGCGCCUCGACAUUGCGAUCGCGCAUCGUCAAGCUCCAACUUCCUAUGAAGGUCCCUUGAAGUAUGUGCUUCCCUCUGAGGCGCCUUGUCGUGGAUCUUGGGCGUCUGUCGUCUCUGGUAUCACAGGCUCAAUUUUCUCGUCUGGUGUGGAGCUGCAGUUCAUGGCAGAUCAGUCCAAAGUGUUGCAAGGUCUGGUUGCACGUGUUGAGAGCUUUCUAGAGCGGGCGGAGGCUACUCUCGGCAAGCUCUCCCUCGUGCCGGCUAUGUUGCUGACUGCUCUGAUCCCGCGUCCUUCUGGUGUUUUCGAUGUUGGUUCCGCGGAAGACAAUGGGACAGAGCUCUUCGGUUGUUUCUCCCCUCGUGUUGGGGUCAGUUCUUCGCCAUUGUCUGCCGCGGGCGAGGCCACGUCGCCGUGGUCGUCGCCCCGGUGCUGCAGAUCAUGCCCGAGCUUCAACAUCAAUGUGUGA
rnacentral:rRNA from 1 species